CCGCGAGGCGCUGGCGGCGCUGGGGUGACUGGGAGCGCGGCGCGGCGUGCGCGGGCACGAGGCCGAGUGGCCUGCCUAAGGCUCAGGCGGCUUCGGGCGCGCGCGGCGGCGGGUGUGCGAGGCGCGGGCUGUUGUGUUCCCGGCUCUCCUCUUUCCCCUCUUUGGCGGGUGGAGGAGGCCGAAGCGGUGCUGGGUGCGCUCCCCCUUCCUUCCCUCCGCGACUUUCCCCGGCCCUCUCGCGCUGCGCGGUCUCUCCGACGCAAGACUGUCCCGGCCCGGGUGAGCGGCGGCAGGGGCGGCGCUGACGCCGCAGGACGCCCGGGAAUCAGGGUGGGGGAAGCCGGCGAGGGGCGGCUGGGACCGUGGGGCGCGGGGGCGCCGGCCUCCCGGGAGGCGGCGGGGCCCGUCCCGGCGCGGGCCCCGGAAAGGAAGGGAAGCUCGGGUGCCUGCCAGGCCCUGCAGGUGGCCGGGUCGCAGGCCGGCCGCGGGAGCAGCGGUAACUUUACCCGCUGGCGACAGCAGCUGGUCGGUAUCUCGAGGCCGGGCUCUCGGCGACCCAAGGGGCCGGGUUUCGUACAACCAAGGCCUCCAGCUGACAAAUCUCGGGCCAGGGUCCUUGAGGACUGGCGGGUAGGUGAGGGUUAUGUGGUCUUUGGUGGCUGGAAGGAGGAGGGGGCUCACUGAGGCGGGAGAAGACCUGGGAAAGGUGCUGCAGGCUGCAGCUGGGUUAUUGGAGUGUUGAGUGAAGGCGCCCUUACUCUAGUGAUUUCUCCCGCCCUUCUCCCCAGAUGGUUGUAGUUUAAAAAGCUAGGGUCAGGAUGUUGAACACUACUGCCUGGGCUUCUUCCUUUCAGAUGGUUACGAAUAAUCAGCCUACUUCCUGAAUCCAGAAUCUUAAUUCUUGGUUUGCUUUUAAAAGGAUUUUUGGAACAGGGCUUACUUGUUGCCUCCUGCGAAAGCUCCUCAUUUUGAAAGAACUCGUCCGUUCUACACUUCCCUUUUUGCAGUCCCCUCGGAAAAGCACACUAAAUAAGAGUUACAUUAAAAACCAGCUUUUAGGUUAUUUGUAAACGAUUUCUUGCCCUUCCAUUUGUCAUAUUUAAUCAGGGAGAAGUUAUGCAUACGAUUUUGCAGAAAAUUCGAUUGGUUUGAGAACAAAUCUUAAGUUGAGCUGUCCAAAAGCAGGUGGUUUGUUCGUUUGCAUUUUGGCUUUCAGAAAGGAAAUCAAUGCAGUGUGCUGUCAGAAGUUAGGGGCCUACCCCACGCUGUUAGCCUGUUUGAUAAAAUUUCUUUUGCCUAGUUUUCUGUCUCAAAAAUAAGAACAAAGGACAACUCCCUUUUUUUUAAAGUUCUUAUGACUUUUUGUUACUGUUGCUAGGUGGCAAUGAAAAAUGGGUUAAUCUGUCAUAUAAUUUUUAUUUUGUUCAUCUUAUGAUAUUGUACAGAUCACUGCAUGAACAUGUCAUCAAAAUAGUUAAUAGCUUCUAGAUAGCAAGGAAACUUAUGGAAUUAGUGGUCUGCCGUUGUGUAAGAUUUUUCUUCAGUGUUAACGGUUAGGAUUUUAAUUGUUAAGAAUUGUUUAAAACAAUUUUAUCCACAAAAGCAGUGUAUUAACAUACAUAAAAUACAUUAUGUUUAAGAGUUAAGAUUAAGAUAAAAGAGAUACCUGGAGUAUUCUAACAUAGGUUCUGAUACUAAGACAUUGAGACAUUGAGAAUGUUACAAAACAUUGGUGUACAUAAAUAUUGAACACCUGACUGCUCUCAUCCGAAUAUACUUUAAGUAUUCUUUUGAAAAAAAUAAUGCAUUUGGCUUAAAAUUAAUAAGGUUUAAUAAAAAAUUGAAGCAUAGUUGUAGGAACUAACAGCUGGUAGUAGCCACCAUUAUUUGGUAGGAAUUGGGUUCUGGUAUUAAGCUGGCAUACUAAACAUUUUUAUAAUUGGUAAGAUCUUCAGCUGGCUUUGAAGAAGAAAAAAAGAAAACCAUUGAUCCUCUUCUGAAAUUAUGACUUUAAAUUCACAAUGCUAGUGGGAGCUUGUCCGAUCAGUGUAUUUACUUAUUGUGUCCCCACAUCCCCUUUUUUGGAGGUGGGAUGGGGAGUUAGUUUUUAUGAAAUGCUUAGACUUUACAAUCAUUAUCUAAUUAGGGUUCCCAUCAGAAAAACCAGCACUCUUGAACAUUUUUAACUUGUUUAAUAGAAGUCUUUAAUUUUAAUGAGAAAGUAAAAGUAACUUUUCUCAAUGACAAUUAUUUUUAAUUAACUCACAUAUGUUCACUUUUGACCACCAAUAACAAAAAAAGUGGUACCUUUCAACUUUGUAAGGGUGUCCCUACCCUUAAAUUAGGUUCAUUCUCUCAACUGGGAACUAAUUAAAUCUCAUAAUGACCAUUUAGGAAAAAUUAGAAUGGCACAGUAAUUUCAUGAAACCUAAGUAUUUAAGAGAAUAAUUCCCCUUUGGUGGCAUAAUCUCCUUUAGAAGGACUAGUUAAUAGCUCUUACUUGUCUUAAACAGUUAAGAAUUGCAAGUCACAACUGUAAAUACCAGAAAGGGAAAGUUACUUUGCAAAGUAACCAAAUAAAUGUUAGGGGGAAGCUAAACUUUUGGGGAAAGCUUUUGAAGAUUAUAUAAAGUGAACAAUCUUAGGUAUAUAGCUCAGAACCAAGGGGAACCAUUCCUGACUUAAAUGAUUAUAAUUGCUGGGCACACUGGCACAUUCUUAUAAUUCCAGUGAUGUGGAAGGCUGAGACAGGAGGAUCUCAAGUUCCAGACCACCCUGGGUAACUUAGUGGGGCCCUAUCUCAAAAUAAAAUAUAAACUUACAUCCAGUGAGGUUAAAGCGCUCCUAGCAAUAAUUCCUUACAGUAUAGGAAAAAAAAAAGUUAAAAAAAAUUAGGUAUAUAGCUCAAUGAAUUUUUACAAAUAAACAUACUGUGUAACCAUUACCUCGUUCAAGAUACAGAACAUUUUUAGCACCCCAUAAUUUCCUCUCUUGUCCUCUCUUCCCAAAUCAUUGCUCCAUAAACCCCAAUGUCACCUCUUUCACUUUAGAGCGUUGCUCUGGCCCCCACAGUGCUAGGUUUGGAACCCAGGACCUAGCACAGGUUAGGUUGGUGCUCAAGCACAGCUUCAUACCCCAGCCUCCUUUGCCUCUUUUGAAUUUUAUAUAAUGUAUAUUCUUUGUAACUGAUUUAUUUAACAUUCAGAUACAAACUUGGUGUCACUUGAAACAAUAAUUAUUUUAGAAUGCUGCUUAGUAUUUCAUUGUAUGUAUUGUGUUUGUGUGCACAUUGAUGUAUCCAUUUUACAGUUGUUGAGCAGUUGGAUUGUUCCUAGUUUUGAAACAGGUUUUCUGAACUUUCUUGUAUUUAUCUUGUGUGUAUAUAUUUUUAUUUUUGUUGAAUAUAUACCAACAGAGGUCAUAGACAACUGCCAACCAGUUUUAUUUCCUCCUCAGUGGUUGAUUCUACCAGUUUAUAAUCCAGUAGCAUUGUCUGUGAGAGUUUAAAACCCAUACAUUUUGAUUGCCUAAAGUUUCUAUAAAAUUUAAGGCUUUAACUCUGAGAUGGUUAUUUAGAUUACUCAAUAUUAGAAUAAUUAAGUCACUCUAAUGCCUUAACUUCUGUUUUUAGAUAUGGCUCGUGGACAGCAGAAGAUUCAGUCUCAGCAAAAAAAUGCCAAAAAGCAGGCUGGACAAAAGAAGAAACAAGGACACGACCAAAAGGCUGCUGCCAAAGCUGCCUUAAUAUAUACCUGCACUGUCUGUAGGGUAAGAGGGCUUGAAAGACAUUGCUUGGUGGACAAUUCUUUCAUUGUAAAUUGAUUUGUAUAGGUUAAUAUUUUGUAACGCUAGCAAAAUAGAUGGUUUGUUUGAAAUAGUAGAUUUGACAGCUGGUUGUUUUAGGAAUUUGUCUUCAUGUACCCAUUUACAAAGCUUUGUGCAUGGCUUCUUUGGCCAGAUGCAGAUUUCUAUGAUCUGAGGAACAAAGAAUGAAACAAGACUUUUUCUUUAUGUAGGAUAAAGAUGUUUUUAUGAGGGAAUGUAAUAUACCUUGAACUUUGUAAGAAACUUAGGUCUACAUUCUUGAUAUAGAUUUGACUAAACUUUGUUACUAUGCUAGUAAAAAUACUUCUGAUUAUGAAUAUGGCUUUUAAUUUGUUUUCUUUCACUAAAAUCCAGAGUUAGAGUGUAUAGUAAAAUCAUAUAGAAUGUAUUCAUGUUGAAGGCUAUUAUUAGAAUUAAUUUGUUUUCAUAAAUUUAAAGAAUUGAGCAACAAACAGCAUCUGUGGCGUGCUUACCGUGUGUCAGACAUACAAUCACACGUUUAGCCCACAUAACAAUCCUAACAUAAUCACACACCUAGCUCUCCAGCCCCCUUACCUGAGUGGAAUUGAUGGUAUGGACGGCAAAGGUUUUUUGUUGUUGUUUUUUCUUUUUACUAUUAUUAUUAUUGUAGAUGGACACAAUACCGUUAUUUAUUUUUAUGUGGUGCUGAAGAUCCAACCCAGGGCCUCAUGUGUGAGGCAAGCACUCUACCACUGAGCCACAACCCUAGCCCAUGGCAAAGGAUCUUGAUAAGACAUGAUUCCUGGACUGAAGUUUGUCAUCUAUUUGAGUUAUAACAAAUAAAAAAGAAGUUUUUAACUACACAAGAAUUCUUAUUAGUAGCGGGGCAUAACAGAGCUUGUCUGUAAUCCUACCGGGCUUAGGAGAUUGAGGCAGGAAGAUCACAAGUUCAAAGCCAGCUCAAGAACUCAGCAAGACACUGUCUCAAAAUAAAAACAAAGGGCUGGGGGCAUGGCUCAGGGGUUAAGUAUCUCUUGAGUUCAAUCCCUGGUAACCUUCCCUCCCCCCAGGGGAAAAAAAUUUAGAGGGAACCUAUUACAUUAAAUACCUUGUUCACAUUGAGCUUUGAUACACUCAAAAUGAUGGAAUUGAGCAGCUUCUGAUUCUGUUUGAAAAGAGGGUGAAAAUAAAUUUUACUAGGUUAAUGAUGAAGAAAUACCUUGACCUAAAAGUACAAGAAUUAGUUCACAUAUUUAAAAACUCAAAACCUUUUAUUUUAUGUUUUAUAUAUUUGAGCAUAUUAAAGAGUAAAUGAAUUAAGGUCUUUGCCAAAGGAAUUCAUUGUUAUGUAGUGUGUUAUUUGAGAGCUGAAAUGCCUAGCAUUGGGUUAAAAACAGGUCUUAGGCAAAGUAAAUUCUGGGGUUUAGUUUCCUUAGCAUGUAGAACAAGAAUGAUAGUAGAAGCUAGAGAUUACUGUGGAAGUUUGUGAAAAAUUAAGGUAAAAUAUUUGACGCAAUAAGAUGUCAGUAAACAUUACCUGUUGUUUGCUAUUAAUGAGAUAAACAAAUACUUUUCUAUGUGACUUUCCCCUUUUUUGUUAAAUGUAAGAAUGAGGGUUUUUUUGGGGGGGGGGCAAGUUUCCUCUUCAUAUGCUAGCUGCUAAGUUGUUGUAGCUUAAAGGCAAUUUGUGAUAAUUGUCUAUUAUAAACAAGUUCAGGGUUUUAAAAGGUAACAUGUUUUUUAUUUCAUACAUGAAGUCCAUUUCUUCUUUUUUGUAUAAUUUUUAAAUUAGACACAAAUGCCAGACCCUAAGACCUUCAAGCAGCACUUUGAAAGCAAGCAUCCUAAGACUCCACUUCCUCCAGAAUUGGCCGAUGUUCAGGCAUAAAGUUGUUUACAGGUAAUUGACCUUUUUUUUUUGUCUGUCAAUUUUCAGACUUAAAUACAAGAGCAAAACUAACUUCUUCAACUGUGAGGUUAAUUUCUGAUUUCUGAGUCUUUAUUACUACUUCUUUUUAAUGUUUAACUUCGUUACUAGAACCUAACAAUUGUACUUAUAGUUUACUAGAAUGUUUUAUAAUUAUCAAAAGUUUUUUUCCUCAGAUCACUUCCUUUGAAACAUCCCAAGUUUUUACUACUGUACCAAAAUGGGGUCGGGGGUGGGGGAAUGAGUGAAUAUUGGCCAUCUCUAGCUCAAGAAUGAAAGACUUAUCAGCUGCAAGAAAAUAGUUAUUUCUAAGGUUUUUAAGGGCCUUCCUCCCAAAAAUGAUGCAAACCAAUUUCCUGAGCACAUUUUUACAGUUAUUUUUAUUUAAUGGUGCUUAGCAGAGCUUCUAAAUAUUAAAUAUAGUAUAAAAUGUAGGCAUACACUAAAACCUUUUUUGAAAAUAAUCAGUUUACACUUUUUAUGUGCUUGGAUUUUUUACCCCUAAAUGGUGUGUGUGGUCUUUCAUUUUAGACAUUUGAAAUGCAUUAUUAACUUGGAUUUGUACAAUGGGUAUGUUCACUGAAAUUUUCCUUAUGUUUUAUAGGUGAAUUCAUGACACCUUUGACUCUUCUACUGUCUCAGACCUUAGGUAACAAACCUGCAGCUGCUUUUCUAACAAACUGUUGAUCAGCAAAAAUAAAGGGGCUACAGAAACACUCAUUUUUAUGCUGUUCCCUUUUGGGCUUCAUGCAAAGACAAUUCUGUGUAAAUGUACAGUUGACUCUGAUUUGGAAAUCUGAAAAUCAGUCCAUCCUUGUUAUAAAAAUUUUUUUAUAAUUGUAAUUAUAUUGAUGUUCAUAUUGUGUAAAAUAACUCAUCUAAUAAAGUAGUACUUUGAUUUUACAACAUCACAGGAUAAAUGGUUCUACAGAUUCUGUUCUAACUUUCCUUAUUUGCCUUAUAAAAAUCUAAUGAAUUCAGCAGCUAGAAUUACAAACGCAACUUUUAUCUCCCUUUCUCAGCUCAGUGCAGGUUCCUUAAACUAAAGCAGACUCAUUCAUUUAAAUUGUGCAUGUAAUUUUGUUGGCAGCUGAUGAUUUAGGUAAAGAAUGACUUUAUCUGCUGCCUUAGAAUAUUGUAAAGUAUCAUGCCCCCAAUGAUCAUUUCACAUGUUUAGAAUUGACAAAUCUAAAUUUCCUGUAUGAAUUGAUUGGGUAUAGCUACCAGUCAGGGGUACCCUGUAGAAAACUAAUACAUUUGUAAAAACAAUUGGAUUAUCAGUGAGCCCUUCUAAAAAAUAAGUUUCUGAAGUAUAUGUCAAAACAAAAAUAAUCAUUAGUCCUAUUGUUUAAUAGAAAAUAUGAUGGAACAAAUGUGAACUGGUAAAAAGAUUUUUUUAUAAAUUAUAGUGGAUUUAUUUGCAAAUUGUUCAAGCUCUUUAAUUUGAAAUUGAAGCAUAAUUUUUGAAGGAGUUUUAGGAAGUUAUUAAUUAUUUGGCCAAUUUUAUGAAUGAAUUUUUGCAUUAACAGGAAUUGGAAUUAUUUGUGAUUGGUUAAUUCCCAGAAUCCUCUCUAUUGAAACAUUGAAUUUAGGAAUUAGCAUUCUGGUUGUUCCUAAAAUCAGACCAUGUAUUAUAGUAUGACUUCCAUUCAAACUAGAAAAGUAUUAAAAUCAACCAGUAUGCUCAAUCUUGGGGAUUAAGGAUGGGAGGUGCUUUUGUUCAGUUGGAUAAAGUAAAUGCUACCCAGUUAAGGAAAACUCAACUUUAGUGUUCUUUUAAUUUGCUUUUGUUGACUAUUAACUUGUACAAAUGAAACUGCUGUAACUCAGUUUAAAUUUUAAAAUUAACAUAAUAGGAAGAACACUAAAAUAUUUACUGCUAACUGCUUAGAGCCGCAUAUCUGAUCCUGUGGAUUACAAAAUGCAUUCCCUCCUUCUGCUGUAACUCAUUGCUGCAUUUGUUUUGUAGCUCCACAUACUCUGCCCACCUUGUUUGUCUUCACUGUAAGUUUAAAAUAAGAUGUUUGCAAGGAAAAGCUCCAGUGCUGAUAGUUUCUUAGCAACUCCUAUUCUUAGACCCUUAUUUUUAAAAUACAGUUCUUUUGUUUCAUGUAUUUAAUUUCCUAAGUUUCAGACUUAAUGUUGUUUCCUAAUAUGUCAAUUGCCAGAACAUUAGUUCUACCUAAUUUCUUGUGGUGGUUAUUGUAGAAGUUCUGGUUAAAGUACAAUUUAUAAGUUUUUGAAAGUGCUUUGAGCAUAUGUGUGUUUAUUUUUAGUAACAAAUCAUUUAAAACCCAUUCACAAAUUUUGGUUUAAAUUUUUUUUCAUUUGUUUUACUGACUGUAAUUCAGAAUAAAAUUUUUUGUUCUUGUAUUUAACCCUUUUUUUUUUAUAAGCAGCUGAAGACACCAUAUUUAACUCUCUAUCUCAGUGAUAGGGAAAUAGUCGGAUUGAUCUUAUAUAAGACAUUAAUUCUCAAUAUGGGGAUUAUUAGUACAAUCCCCUUUUUGUGUUUUCGGUUAAAUCUGCUAUAAGAAAAAAAAUUCCAAGUCUUAAAUAUCUUUGUUUAUUUAAUUUGAAGAUUCUUUAACAGAUAACAGCAAAGUUUAUUUAAAAACUGUUAUGGUGUCUUCAAAGACUUGAUAAAAUACACUGAGAGAAUUGCCAUUCUGUAUUUACAUUAGUUGCCAAAAGAAACGGGGUUAAGAUUAAACUUGUUUCCAUUCUCUUCAAAUGGAUAUCCCCAUGUUUAAUUGACACACUGGGGCCUCAGUUGUGUGCUGUAAUGUCUUAUUAAAGAAGAUAUUAAAGAAAACUAAACUAGUCUAAUUUCUUUUAACAUUUUAAGAGGUUUUGAUAUUGCCUCUUUUUAUUUCUUCCUUUCUAAACUUAGAAGAAUUGUCUCUUGAGUGUAGCUUGAGUUCUAAGAACGACAAGAGAUGUCUUUCAUUUUUCAUUGUUUUUCUUACAUUCUUUUGUGUAUUUGGGGUCUGUAGAAUACUUCUUAAGAAUGAACAGAAAGAGUUUAUCAUUCUGAAACCUUGCAAGUUAGAAUAAGUGAGUUGUUGGAAGGGGGACGUAAUUACUGUUAACAUAAAGAUAAUACAAAACAAAAAAUACUUAGAUCAAUUAAUUGAACUAGAUGGAUAAGUCCUUGAUGACCUUGAUUUCCAUUUUAAGAUAAUACUUUUGGUUUUGUAUUAAAGACACUACAUAGAUAAUAAUCACAUCAUAAUUCAAACCUGAGAUGCAGCAUGAAUAAGGUAAAAUUUACAAACAUUACUCCCCCCCACACACACCCAUUCCUUAUUUUUCAUUCUUGUAAUACUUGGAACAUACUUGGCCUAUAAUUCCAGGGACUUUGGAGGCUGAGGCAAGAGAUUGCAAGUUCAAAACAACUUAGGCCCUAAGCAGCUUAGUGAGACCAUGUCUCAAAAAAGGGAUGUGGGUAUGUGGCUAAGUGGUUAAGUGCUCCUGGGUUCAAUUCCUAGUACCAAAUAAUAAUGUGGCUGGUGUAAAGGACUGUUCCCUAAUACAUGAUCAAUCACACUCCAAACUAUAAUUGAAAUGUUAUAUUUAAACCACUCAGUCUGAAAUGAUUUGUACUAGAUUUCUAGUUUGGGGGUUUGUUUAAGAGUGUAUGGUAGUAAAGAUCAACACUAGGGGGUUGUGUUUACUGUGACUUUGCACUCUGAAAUAGUUCAAAGUAGCUUAAUUUUCAUAGAAAUUUUAAAAAUAUAAGACCAUUCAUUGUGCAGAUUUGAUAAAACAUCUAUUUGAAAGAAUAGAUGUUUUAUUAAGAAAAGUUCAUCCUGUCAUUAAUUGUGUAUUACCAUGUUAAACUGAAAAUAUCUUUUUCAUUUUAAAUGUUCUUUUGGUAAGUUGUUUACUGAAUUACUUUUUUUUUUUUAAAAAAAACCACCAGUCUUUAGUUUCAAUUCUUUGCAUAGAGUGUAAUAGUAUGAUUCCAAAUUUAAAAUUUUGUAUCUACAGAGACAGAUUUCAGUCAUUUAUUAUUUGUAUUCA
rnacentral:lncRNA from 1 species